rnacentral:rRNA from 1 species
AAACCAACAGGGGUUACCUCAGUAACGGCGAGUGAAGCGGUAACAGCUCAAAUUUGAAAUCUGGGUCUUUCAGGCUCCGAGUUGUAAUUUGUAGAAGAUGCUUCGGGUGCGGCUCCGGUCUAAGUUCCUUGGAACAGGACGUCAUAGAGGGUGAGAAUCCCGUAUGUGAUCGGUUGCUUGCGCCCAUGUGAAGCUCUUUCGACGAGUCGAGUUGUUUGGGAAUGCAGCUCAAAAUGGGUGGUAAAUUUCAUCUAAAGCUAAAUAUUGGCCAGAGACCGAUAGCGCACAAGUAGAGUGAUCGAAAGAUGAAAAGCACUUUGGAAAGAGAGUUAAACAGUACGUGAAAUUGUUGAAAGGGAAGCGCUUGCAACCAGACUUGCGCGUUGCCGAUCAUCCGGGGUUCUCCCCGGUGCACUCGGCCUCGCUCAGGCCAGCAUCGGUUUUGGUGGUGGGAUAAAGGCCUUGGGAAUGUAGCUCCUUUCGGGGAGUGUUAUAGCCCUCGGUGCAAUGCCGCCUACCGGGACCGAGGACCGCGCUUCGGCUAGGAUGCUGGCGUAAUGGUUGUAAGCGAC